UGUCAUUAUGUCCAAUAAAUUACAUAUCCGAGGAUCAAAAUUAACCUCCCACGUUACUGUUUCUCACUCAUACAUUCAACUCCGCUCUGGCGAAGAUUUUUACUUCUCAAAGCUCGCCGGCGCUGACUUCCGCCUGAAACCGGAAACUAGGAGCAACCACGAUGGGACUUCUCAGCAUUAUUCGAAAGAUCAAGCGAAAAGAAAAGGAAAUGCGCAUCCUUAUGGUGGGUCUUGACAACUCUGGUAAAACAACCAUAGUUUUGAAAAUAAAUGGGGAAGACACAAGUGUCAUCAGUCCGACCCUUGGCUUCAACAUCAAAACUAUCAUGUAUCAGAAGUGAAUAUCGAGAAGGCGUACCACUGAAUCAUCAAGUUUGUUCAGAAGACAUCAUCACAUACUCUUAGUUAAUUUUUACCUUUGAGUUACCUUCUAGGGCCUUGGUUUGUGGUAUUGAUCAAUUAACUACGCUUUAAUCCCAAAUCAGUUGGGCUCGGUUGUAUGAAUCGUGUUAUGUCAUUAUUGUUAGACUAUGUCUAUAUUGUCCAUUGACCUAAAAAAACCGUCCUUUUUUUAUUA